GCGCGGUUUAGAGCUCACCACCCUCACGUUGCCAACGUGAAUGUCGUGGGUUCAAAUCCCAUCACCCGCU
rnacentral:tRNA from 1 species